CCUACGGGUGGCAGCAGUAGGGAAUAUUGCUCAAUGGGGGAAACCCUGAUGCAGCAACGCCGCGUGGGGGAUGAAGGUUUUCGGAUCGUAAACUCCUGUUGUUAGAGAAGAUAAUGACGGUAUCUAACGAAUAAGCACCGGCUAACUCCGUGCCAGCAGCCGCGGUAAUACGGAGGGUGCAAGCGUUACUCGGAAUCACUGGGCGUAAAGAGAGCGUAGGCGGGAUAGCAAGUCAGAUGUGAAAUCCUAUGGCUUAACCAUAGAACUGCAUUUGAAACUGUUCUUCUAGAGUAUGGGAGAGGUAAGUGGAAUUCCUGGUGUAGGGGUAAAAUCCGUAGAGAUGAAGAGGAAGACUCGUUGCGAAGGCGACCUGCUAGACUGUAACUGACGCUGAGGCGCGAAAGCGUGGGGAGCAAACAGGAUUAGAUACCCGAGUAGUC
rnacentral:rRNA from 1 species